rnacentral:rRNA from 1 species
CCUACGGGUGGCAGCAGUGAGGAAUAUUGGUCAAUGGCCGUAAGGCUGAACCAGCCAAGUCGCGUUAAUGAAGAAGGAUCUAUAGUUUGUAAACUUCUUUUAUAGGGGCAUCAAGGUAUCCACGUGUGGAUAUUUGCAUUUACCCUAUGAAUCAGCAUCGGCUAACUCCUUUCCAGCAGCCGCGGUCCUACGGAGGAUGCGAGCGUUAUCCGGAUUUAUUGUGUUUAAAGGGUGCGUAGGUUGUUUUUUAUGUCAGCGGUGAAAGUUUGUGUCUCAACCAUAAAAUUGCCGUUGAAACUGGAAGACGUGAGUGUGUUUGAGGUAGGCGGAAUGCGUGGUGUAGCGGUGAAAUGCAUAGAUAGCACGCAGAACUCCGAUUGCGAAGGCAGCUGACUAAGCCAUAACUGACACUGAAGCACGAAAGCGUGGGGAUCAAACAGGAUUAGAUACCCUGGUAGUC